rnacentral:rRNA from 1 species
GACGAACGCUGGCGGCGUGCUUAACACAUGCAAGUCGAACGGAAAGGCCCUGCUUUUGUGGGGUGCUCGAGUGGCGAACGGGUGAGUAACACGUGAGUAACCUGCCCUUGACUUUGGGAUAACUUCACGAAACUGGGGCUAAUACCGGAUCGGAUCUCCUGCUGCAUGGUGGGGGUGGGAACGUUUCGGCGGUUGGGGCUGGACUCGCCGCUUAUCAGCUUGUUGGUGGGGUAGUGGCUUACCAAGGAUUUGACGGGUAGCCGGCCUGAGAGGGUGACCGGCCACAUUGGGACUGAGAGACGGCGCAGACUCCUACGUUGGGCAGCAGUGGGAAAUAUUGCACAGUGGGCGGAAGCCUGAUGCAGCGACGCUGCGUGCGGGAUGACGGCCUUCGGGUUGUAAACCGCUUUCGCCUGUGACGAAGCUUUAGUGACGGUAAUGGGUAAAGAAGCACCGGCUAACUACGUG